UACGGGGGGGGCAAGCGUUGUUCGGAAUUACUGGGCGUAAAGGGCUCGUAGGCGGCCAACUAAGUCGGAUGUGAAAUCCCCAAGCUUAACUUGGGAACUGCAUCCGAUACUGGAUGGCUUGAAUCCGGGAGAGGGAUGCAGAAUUCCAGGUGUAGCGGUGAAAUGCGUAGAUAUCUGGAGGAAUACCGGUGGCGAAGGCGGCAUCCUGGACCGGCAUUGACGCUGAUGUGCGAAAGCGUGGGGAGCAAACAGGG
rnacentral:rRNA from 1 species